rnacentral:rRNA from 1 species
GACGAACGCUGGCGGCGUGCUUAACACAUGCAAGUCGAACGGAAAGGCCUCUUUCGGGGGGUACUCGAGUGGCGAACGGGUGAGUAACACGUGAGUAACCUGCCCUUGACUUUGGGAUAACUUCAGGAAACUGGGGCUAAUACCGGAUAGGAGCUCCUGCUGCAUGGUGGGGGUUGGAAAGUUUCGGCGGUUGGGGAUGGACUCGCGGCUUAUCAGCUUGUUGGUGGGGUAGUGGCUUACCAAGGCUUUGACGGGUAGCCGGCCUGAGAGGGUGACCGGCCACAUUGGGACUGAGAUACGGCCCAGACUCCUACGGGAGGCAGCAGUGGGGAAUAUUGCACAAUGGGUGGAAGCCUGAUGCAGCAACGCCGUGUGCGGGAUGACGGCCUUCGGGUUGUAAACCGCUUUCGCUCAUGACGAAGCUUUUUGUGACGGUAGUGGGUAAAGAAGCACCGGCUAACUACGUG